GACGAACGCUGGCGGCGUGCCUAACACAUGCAAGUCGAGCGAUGAAACCCCUUCGGGGGUGGAUUAGCGGCGGACGGGUGAGUAACACGUGGGUAACCUGCCUCAAAGUGGGGGAUAGCCUUCCGAAAGGAAGAUUAAUACCGCAUAAAGCCAAGUUUCACAUGGAAUUUGGAUGAAAGGAGUAAUUCGCUUUGAGAUGGACCCGCGGCGCAUUAGUUAGUUGGUGGGGUAAUGGCCUACCAAGACAGCGAUGCGUAGCCGACCUGAGAGGGUGAUCGGCCACAUUGGAACUGAGAUACGGUCCAGACUCCUACGGGAGGCAGCAGUGGGGAAUAUUGCACAAUGGGCGAAAGCCUGAUGCAGCAACGCCGCGUGAGUGAUGAAGGUCUUCGGAUUGUAAAGCUCUGUCUUUUGGGACGAUAAUGACGGUACCAAAGGAGGAAGCCACGGCUAACUACGUGCCAGCAGCCGCGGUAAUACGUAGGUGGCGAGCGUUGUCCGGAUUUACUGGGCGUAAAGGGUGCGUAGGCGGAUGUUUAAGUGAGAUGUGAAAUACCCGGGCUUAACUUGGGUGCUGCAUUUCAAACUGGAUAUCUAGAGUGCAGGAGAGGAGAAUGGAAUUCCUAGUGUAGCGGUGAAAUGCGUAGAGAUUAGGAAGAACACCAGUGGCGAAGGCGAUUCUCUGGACUGUAACUGACGCUGAGGCACGAAAGCGUGGGUAGCAAACAGGAUUAGAUACCCUGGUAGUCCACGCCGUAAACGAUGAGUACUAGGUGUAGGAGGUAUCGACCCCUUUCUGUGCCGCAGUAAACACAUUAAGUACUCCGCCUGGGAAGUACGAUCGCAAGAUUAAAACUCAAAGGAAUCGACGGGGGCCCGCACAAGCAGCGGAGCAUGUGGUUUAAUUCGAAGCAACGCGAAGAACCUUACCUGGACUUGACAUCCCCUGAAUAACCUAGAGAUAGGCGAAGCCCUUCGGGGCAGGGAGACAGGUGGUGCAUGGUUGUCGUCAGCUCGUGUCGUGAGAUGUUAGGUUAAGUCCUGCAACGAGCGCAACCCUUAUUGUUAGUUGCUAACAUUCAGUUGAGCACUCUAACGAGGCUGCCGCGGUUAACGCGGAGGAAGGUGGGGAUGACGUCAAAUCAUCAUGCCCCUUAUGUCCAGGGCAACACACGUGCUACAAUGGGCAGAACAAAGAGAAGCAAUACCGCGAGGUGGAGCCAAACUCAAAAACUGCUCUCAGUUCGGAUUGCAGGCUGAAACUCGCCUGCAUGAAGCUGGAGUUGCUAGUAAUCGCGAAUCAGCAUGUCGCGGUGAAUGCGUUCCCGGGCCUUGUACACACCGCCCGUCACACCAUGAGAGCUGGCAACACCCGAAGUCCGUAGUCUAACGUAAGAGGACGCGGCCGAAGGUGGGGUUAGUGAUUGGGGUG
rnacentral:rRNA from 1 species